rnacentral:rRNA from 1 species
AGAGUUUGAUCAUGGCUCAGGACGAACGCUGACGGUGUGCUUUAGACAUGCAAGUCGAACGAGAAAGCCCUUCGGGGUGAGUACAGUGGCGAACGGGUGAGUAACACGUGGGUAACCUGCCCCUCGCAGGGGGACAACCGGGGGAAACCCCGGCUAAUACCCCAUACGCUCUGAGGUCCGCAUGGUCCUCGGAGGAAAGGUAGCUUCGGCCAUCCGACGAGGGAAGGGCCCGCGGUCCAUUAGCUAGUUGGUGGGGUAACGGCUCACCAAGGCGACGAUGGAUAGCUGGUCUGAGAGGACGACCAGCCACACUGGGACUGAGACACGGCCCAGACUCCUACGGGAGGCAGCAGUAAGGAAUAUUCCACAAUGGGCGCAAGCCUGAUGGAGCGACGCCGCGUGAGCGAAGAAGCCUCUAGGGGUGUAAAGCUCUUUUCAGUGGGAUGACAAUCGACAGUACCACUGGAAUAAGCCCCGGCUAACUACGUGCCAGCAGCCGCGGUAAUACGUAGGGGGCGAGCGUUGUCCGGAUUUACUGGGCGUAAAGCGCGUGUAGGCGGUAUGGCAAGUCUGCCGUGAAAGCUCGUGGCUCAACUGCGAGAGGUCGGUGGAAACUGCCGUACUUGAGGACGGUAGAGGGGGGUGGAAUUCCCGGUGUAGUGGUGAAAUGCGUAGAUAUCGGGAGGAACACCAGUGGCGAAGGCGGCCCCCUGGGCCGCUCCUGACGCUGAGACGCGAAGGCCAGGGUAGCGAACGGGAUUAGAUACCCCAGUAGUCC